CCAAGCAACAGACAGGAAGUGGGGCUCCACUCACCCCAGGAUCCCUGGGAAGAGCCUCGGACUGAGGAGCUCCAAAAAGGAAGCUGUGGCACUGCGGAGGGAACGAGGGAAGAGAGUAGGUCUCCGAGAUGCUGCGGCUUGUUGUGCAGUCGGCCAAGAUUGACCCACCGCUAGCUCCACUACCCAGGCCCUGCAUGUCCAUCGACUUCAGAGAUGUCAAGAAAAGAACUCGUGUGGUGGAAGGGAAUGAUCCCGUGUGGAAUGAGACCCUAAUCUGGCACCUCUGGAACCGCCCCCUGGAAAAUGACUCCUUCCUGCAAGUCACCCUUCAGGACACGGGCUCACAAAAGGAAGAAAGCUUCAUUGGCCUGGCCACAGUCCUGCUCAAGCCAUUGUGGAAACAACCAAGCAAGGUCCUUUUUGUGAAGGAUCUGACCCUGCUCAACCAUUCCAUGAAGCCCACAGAUUGUACUGUCACCCUACAGGUGGCCCACAUGAGCCACCGGGAUAUUGAGAAGACAGGAGCUGAAGACCUCCUGGGCAUAACGGCAAGAGAGGCGGCCAGGCAGAAACUGAUGGUCCCUGGCUCCACCGCGCACAGGGCUCUGUCCUCAAAGCCUCAGCACUUUCAGGUUCGAGUGAAGGUGUUUGAAGCCCGACAGCUCAUGGGCAACAACAUCAAACCAGUGGUGAAGGUGUCCAUCGCAGGCCAGCAGCACCAGACACGCAUCAAGAUGGGGAACAACCCUUUCUUUAACGAGAUUUUCUUCCAGAAUUUUCACGAGGUUCCUGCAAAGUUCUUUGAUGAGACCAUCUUAAUUCAGGUGGUGAACUCCUCAGUAAUGAGAUACAAAGCAGAGAUCGGGAGAUUUCAAACAGAUAUUGGGUUUAUCUACCAUUCUCCGGGUCACACACUCCUAAGGAAAUGGCUAGGCCUCUGCCAACCAAAUAACCCCGGCAGUGGUGUGACAGGCUACCUGAAAGUCACCAUCUGUGCCCUCGGUGUGGGAGACCAGGCCCUGAUAGAUCAAAAGCAGCUGUAUGGGGCCGAUGACACCGAUAUUCAGAUCUUCAAGUCAGCGGUAGUCCCGAUCAACAUGGCUUACUUACAGUUCUUCAUCUACUGCGCAGAGGACCUUCACCUCAAGAAACAGCAGUCAGUGAAUCCUCAGUUGGAGGUGGAACUAAUUGGGGAAAAGCUUAGGACGCACAUGCAGACGCAAACCGACAACCCGAUAUGGAACCAGAUCCUGACCUUCCGGAUUCAGCUACCCUGCCUCUCCAGCUACAUCAAGUUCAGAGUCUUGGACUGCCACAGGAAGGACUGCUCGGAUGAGAUUGGGACUGCCAGUCUGUCCCUCAACCAGAUCUCGUCCACCGGAGAAGAGAUCGAAGGAGUGUACUCUGGCUUCCUGCCCUGCUUUGGCCCCAGCUUCCUGACUCUGCACGGGGGUAAAAAGGCCCCUUUCAGGAUCCAGGAAGAAGGCGCUCGUAUUCCCGACUCUGUUAGGGAUGGUUUAGCUUAUCGAGGCCGAGUCUUCCUGGAGUUAGUCACCCAAAUCAAGUCCUGUCAAGACUCCACGAUAAAAGAUCUCUCCCAUGAAGUGACCAGGAUAGAGAAGCACCAGAACCGCCAAAAGUAUGGGCUGUGCGUCAUCUUCCUCUCCUGCACCAUGAUGCCCAACUUUGAAGACCUGAUCCAUUUCGAGGUCAGCAUCGGUCACUAUGGGAACAAGAUGGACCUGAAUUACAAGCCUCUAGUCUCAAGCACACAGUACAGCCCAGUGAUAUAUGAUGGGAACAUCUACCAUUAUGUGCCCUGGUACAACAUCAAGCCUGUCGUGGCCGUGACCUCCAACUGGGAGGACGUCAGCUUCCGCAUGAACUGCCUCAACCUCCUCCACUUCACUCGGGACCGCCUGAAAGCCAACCUGGACACCUUGAAAUCCACGCGGAAUCCGAAGGACCCAGCUCUCCUCUGCCAGUGGGAGAAACUGCUGAGGGAGCUGGUGGAGGACUGCAAGCGCCCUCUGCCCUGCAUGACCGACCAGCCCAAAGCCACCAACCUGGACAGGAAGAGGUGGCAGCUCCGCAGCCUCCUCCUGCAGGAACUGGCCCAAAAGGCCAAGCAAGCCAUGCCCAGGGACAUGGUGGCCACAGCGGAGGACUGGCUGUACCGCCUCAACGCUGUGCUCCCUGAGGUGGGUGCUGCACACACCGGCCUGGAGCUGGGAGCCGGCCGCGCAGGGCCUGACGUUCUCCCACCUUGGCAGCCCCAGAUGGGCCUUCCUGACGUGAUGAUUUGGCUGGUGGCCAAGGAACAGCGAGUGGCCUACGCACAGGUGCCUGCCCACUCCGUCCUCUUCUCCCGGGCAGGGGCCCUGCACUCCGGCAGGCUCUGUGGGAAGAUACAGACACUCCUCCUCCAGUACCCAGAGGGUGAAGGACAGAAGGAUGUGCUCCCAGCUCACCUCCGGGUCUGCAUGUGGCUUGGCAAUGUCACAGACAGCAAGGACCUGCAGCUUCUCUGCCAGGGUGACAUGGCAGUGUACGCCGAGACGUAUGAGAAUCAGGCCAAGUAUAAAGACCAGUGGGGGCAGCAGGGGCUGUAUCGCUGCCCCAACUUCUCAGAUGUCAUGGGGAACAAGACCCUCCCCAUGACGGAUUUCCAGCCACCCCUGGGAUGGCACUGGCAGGACAGCUGGACAGUGGAACCUCAGAGGAGACUCCUCCUGGACACAGACAUCAACAAGAGCCAGGUGCUGGAGGAGGUAUAUGAGAACCAGGGCCGCGACAUCAGAGGCGCCUGGGGGCCUGCCGCCAUCCCAAACACAGACGUGAACGGACAGCCCACAGAGGCCCGGGAGAACGUGAAGUGCCCCCAAGGCUGGCACUUUAAGAAGGACUGGGUGGUGGAGCUGAAUCAUGCAGUGGACAGUAAGGGCUGGGAGUAUGGCGUGGGCAUCCCCCCCUCGGGCCUGCCCCAGGUCUGGAGCCCGGUGGAGAAGACCUACCACUCGUGCCGCCGGCGGCGCUGGGCGCGCGUGCGCUUCCGGAACCGCGGGGAGCUGAGCCGCGAGCAGGAGACCGUCUCCUUCCUGCAGCUGGGCCCGGCCGAGGGCGAGGAGGACGGCUGGGAGUACGACGCCUUCGGCUCCAAGUUCCACCUCCACCCUCAGCCCCGGAGCCGCUUCCGCCGCCGCUGCUGGCGCCGCAGGCUGGUGCCCGACAAGGACAAGGGCGUCGCGCCCGUCUUCCUCCUGGAGGGCUCCUUGGCCAUGGAUCUGAAACACCGAGCUGGGAAGGAAGAGGAGAGCAAGCCAUGGCCUUGGGGUCUGGACAGACAGUUCAGGGACCCCCAGAGGCAGGACGCCCGGCCCCCCAACAUGCCUUUCAUCUACUGCACCUUUAACAAGCCCCACUACUACCAGCUCUUCUGCUACAUCUACCAGGCCCGGAACCUGGUGUCCAAUCAGAUCCUGACAUUCCAAGGGCCCUUCAUUCGGGUGGUCUUCCUGAACCACAGCCAGUGCACCCAAACCCUGAGGAGCUCUGCAGGCCCCACAUGGGCCCAGACACUCAUCUUCCAGCACCUCCUUCUGUACGAGAACCCGCAGGACACCAAAGAGAGCCCGCCGCUCGUGGUGCUAGAGCUGUGGCAGCGUGACUCCUGGGGCAAGGAGAGCUUGUGGGGACGAAGCAUGUGGCCCCCAGUGGUCUGGCUGGAUCUCCAGGACCGGAUCCUGCCCCCCUUGAGGUGGCACCCCCUUAUGAAGGAGCUGGGGAAGGAAGAGGGCGAGAUCUUGGCAUCCUGUGAGCUGAUCCUCCAGACUGAGAAGCUUGGCGAGAAGCAGCUGCCUAUCUUAAGCGUUCCCUGGAAGAAUGGGGCAUACACACUCCCCAAGAGCAUCCAGCCCACGAUAAAGAGGAUGGCCAUUGAGAUCCUGGCCUGGGGCCUUCGGAACAUGAAGAAGGCGAGCUCCCCCCAGCUCCUGGUGGAAUUCGGGGAAGAGUCCCUGAGGACAGAACCCAUCAGAGACUUUCAGACCAACCCCAACUUCCCCGAGUCCGAGUCUGUCCUAGUCCUCAUAGUGCUCAUGCCCACGGAGGAGGCCUACGCACUGCCCCUCGUGGUGAAGGUGGUGGACAACUGGGCCUUCGGCCAACAGACCGUGACGGGCCAGGCCAACAUCGACUUCCUCCAGCCCUACUUCUGUGACCCCUGGGCUCAGGACUACGUGCACCCAAAGCUUCCAAGGCUGUCUGGGAAGAAGCACCAGGACUUCCUAGGCUACCUCUCCAGAAAGUUCUGGUUCAAGUCCAGUAAAGCAGAGGAUGAAUAUGAGCACGAGGUGGACUGGUGGAGCAAGCUGUUCUGGGCCACAGAUGAGCACAAGUCCCUGAAGUACAAGUACAAAGACUACCACACCCUCAAGGUGUACGACUGUGAGCUGGAGGCUGUGCCAGCCUUCCAGGGCCUGCAGGACUUCUGCCAGACCUUCAAGCUCUACCAGGAGCAGCCCAAGCUGGACAGCCCCGUGGUAGGGGAGUUCAAGGGCCUCUUCCGUGUCUACCCCUUUCCUGAGAAUCCAGACGCCCCGAAGCCCCCGCUCCAGUUCUUGGCUUGGCCAGAGAGAGAGGACUUCCCCCAGCCAUGCCUGGUGCGGGUGUACGUGGUACGAGCCAUCAACCUGCAGCCCCAGGACUACAACGGCCUGUGUGACCCUUACGUGAUCCUGAAACUGGGCAAGACAGAGCUUGGCAGCCGGGACAUGUACCAGCCCAACACUCUGGAUCCCAUCUUCGGCACGAUGUUUGAACUCACCUGCAACAUCCCCCUGGAGAAGGACCUAGAGAUCCAGCUCUAUGACUUCGACCUAUUUUCACCUGAUGAUAAGAUAGGAACCACAGUCAUCGACCUUGAAAACCGACUCCUGUCUGGCUUUGGAGCUCACUGUGGGCUCUCCAAAUCCUACUGCCAGUCAGGACCCUUUAGAUGGCGGGAUCAGAUGCCCCCAAGCUACCUCCUAGAACGCUAUGCCAAGCGCAAAGGGCUGCCUCCGCCUCUGUUCAGUCCUGAGGAAGAUGCUGUUUUCUAUAACGGGAAAAAAUUCAAGCUGCAAAGCUUUGAACCCCAAACCCCUACUGUUCAUGGUUUGGGGCCCAAGAAGGAACGCCUUGCACUCCACCUCCUGCACACCCAGGGGCUGGUGCCUGAGCACGUGGAGACCCGCACACUGUACAGUGACAGCCAGCCAGGCAUCGACCAGCUUAAUACCCUUAGGUUGUAGUUCAUAACACAAAAUGACCUGAAAGUCUGGACUGGUUUCCUCAUACUCGAGGCUAUCAAGCAACACCAAGCUGCUUGAUAAAUGAAGCCCCAACCCCGAUCUGGAGCCCAGUCCAGACAGGCCAUCUAGCAUGACCUAGGGAGUGGCAUUCCCCCUCCAGACCUGUUGUAAGUGGAAUCCCAGCACCAUGCCGUCAGCCCCAAAGUUACCCUGUUUCAAUCUCACUGCGCUACUCUCUCAGUCGAAAGAAAGGGGGAAGCUGGUGGGUGGUCGCCUGCGGCCUCACAGGUAUCUCUGUGCCCUACCCCUUGGUGUUGGGAACACAACCUCAACAGACCUCAGAACCUGGGACAGGGAACCCCAGGCCAGCCUGCUGAGAACAGAGGCUAGCAACCCCCAACCAGCCAAUGUAUCCCGGCUCUAGGGAAAGGUGCAAAUGUGGGUGGACAUCUUCCCCAAGAAGCUGGGGCCUCCUGGCCCCCCAGUCAACAUCAACCCCAGAAAGCCUAAACGGUGAGUGACAGCCCACUUCCCAAUUGCUGCAUUUCACAGUUCAGCCUCCCCCCAGUGCAGGGCACCACUCUCCUCAGGUACUGAGCUGCAGUCAUUUGUUUCUCUGCCGGGAAGGGAGGAAGCUCUCCUGGGAGCUUUCUUGCCCUGAAUUCCCCACAUUGAGCAAGAGCACACAGGGCGGCCUCGCAGGCCUCUCCGCCCUCACCGAGGCUGCGGCUGGGGAGCUCCUCCUUGGCAAAGCCUCAGAGCGCAGUGGCCACAGGUACGAGCUGCGCUGCGUCAUCUGGAAAACCGCCAAUGUGGACCUGGUGGAUGACAAUUUAAGUAGAGAGAAGACGAGCGACAUCUACAUCAAAGGGUGGCUGUAUGGGCUGGAGAAGGACAUGCAGAAGACAGAUAUCCACUACCACUCGCUGACCGGGGAGGCGAACUUCAACUGGCGGUUCAUCUUUACCAUGGACUACCUGGCGGCGGAGCGCGUGUGUGUCCAGAGCCAGAAGGAUUACAUAUGGAGCCUGGAUGCCACGUCCAUGAAGUUCCCAGCCCGACUUAUCAUCCAGGUCUGGGACAAUGACAUCUUCUCCCCCGACGACUUCCUAGGUGAGGUCCUGACACGGGGCUUGUGACCACAGGGCAGAGAGCUCCUUCUUGCUGAUGUCAUUUUUCUGGGCUCAGGGGUCCUGGAGUUGGAUUUGUCUGACAUGCCCCUCCCGGCUCGGCACGCCCAGCAGUGCUCCAUCAGGAUGAUGGACGCUGACCCCAAGUGGCCCUAUUUCCUCCAAUACAAGCACUUCUCCCUCUUUAAGAAGAAGACUGUGACUGGCUGGUGGCCUUGCCAGGUCCUCGAUGGUGGCAAAUGGCGCUUGUCGGUAGGAGCUGGGGAAAGUGUCUACUGGUUAGGACUGCUGUGCCGCAUGUCCUGGCUCUAGCAGACAUCUAGGGACCUAGCUAAAUCCCUUUUCCUUUCUUGGUCCCGGGAAGAGGCCCUAAAACUACCCGGCUCUGCUGUCUGAACUCAGCCUCCCCCUCACCAUGGUGUUCCUAGGGCAAGGUGAAGAUGAGCCUGGAGAUUCUGUCAGAGAAGGAAGCCUUAAUCAAGCCAGCCGGGCGAGGCCAGUCAGAACCCAACCAGUACCCUACACUUCACCCUCCCCUACGUCCCUACACCUCUUUCAUCUGGUUGCGGUCACCAGUUCAGCACUUCUGCUCUGUUUUCUGGAAACGCUAUCGCUUCAAACUCAUAGCCUUUAUGGUCAUAUCGAUUCUAGCACUUUUGCUGUUCAACUUUAUCUAUUCAGCUCCGCACUAUUUGGCCAUGAGCUGGAUCAAACCUCAACUUCAGCUAUAUCCUCCCAUUAAAAUAUUCAAUAUCAUCACUUCACUAAACACCAGCAAUGCCAGCUCUUCCAUCCUUCCCACCCAGGAUCCAAACCUAAAGCCUACAACAGACCAUGAGUGGAAACUCCAUCCAGGACCUACCAAUCACCUGAGUAACAUUUUCCCAGAACUUCCAGCCCCCGAAGACUAAUUAGCCCACGCUGCCCGGCUUUCCUCCUCUACCAACAGCCCUGCCCUUGGGCCGCCUACCAGUUCUUUGUUUCUGUCUUCUAGGAUAGAUGCAAGGUGCUAGGAAUAUUCUGGCUAUUGUGUUCAGAAAUCACUUCCAACAAGAAGAGCAGAGCCAUAAUUUUCCACUGAAAUAAACGAGUUCCGUAACAGA